CCGUGCCCCAUAGUCUGGGAUACCACUUGGAAACAGGUGCUAAUACCGGAUAAGAAAGCAGAUCGCAUGAUCAGCUUUUAAAAGGCGGCGUAAGCUGUCGCUAUGGGAUGGCCCCGCGGUGCAUUAGCUAGUUGGUAAGGUAAAGGCUUACCAAGGCGAUGAUGCAUAGCCGAGUUGAGAGACUGAUCGGCCACAUUGGGACUGAGACACGGCCCAAACUCCUACAGGAGGCAGCAGCA
rnacentral:rRNA from 1 species